AGUGAACGCUGGCGGCAGGCCUAACACAUGCAAGUCGAGCGGCAGCGCGUCCGACCACCCUCGGGUGGUCGGAUGGCGGCGAGCGGCGGACGGGUGAGGAAUGCAUCGGAAUCUGCCUCGUUGUGGGGGAUAACGUAGGGAAACUUACGCUAAUACCGCAUACGACCUACGGGUGAAAGUGGGGGACCUUCGGGCCUCACGCGAUGAGAUGAGCCGAUGCCGGAUUAGCUAGUUGGCGGGGUAAAGGCCCACCAAGGCGACGAUCCGUAGCUGGUCUGAGAGGAUGAUCAGCCACACUGGAACUGAGACACGGUCCAGACUCCUACGGGAGGCAGCAGUGGGGGAAUAUUGGACAAUGGGGGGCAACCCUGAUCCAGCCAUGCCGCGUGUGUGAAGAAGGGCCUCGGUUGG
rnacentral:rRNA from 1 species